CAUGGCGCCGUGUCCCUGCUCCCUCAGUUACAGAAAGUGGCCGCCUCUCUGCUGCUGUCGACCCAAAGCUCACAGACUCACUCGUUGCCUAGACCCGCCAUCUUGGAGUCAGAGAACUGAGAGUCGGCAGCAAGCUACGAGAGAGCGCAAAAGGGGGACACGGGGCCAAGGCCUUUCACAUCUUCUGAACUGACAGUUGUGAUUGGAGAUAAUGAGGAUAUCCAUAUCCCACAUUAGAAAGUGAGUAUCCCUACCUAGUAGGGCCUACAGGUCUCAGUCCUCCAUGGCGUCUGGGGCUGGGCAGGCAGAGGCCGGCGAUGGGGCAGCAUGGUCGUCAUCAGGCCUGGCCAAGCCUCUUCACCUUCAGCACCUGGAGAGAUCCCUACGCCUUGACAGCUUCCUCCGCCAGACCGCCUCAGUCUUCAACAGAGACCU